rnacentral:rRNA from 1 species
UACGAGGGGAGCAAGCGUUGUUCGGAUUUACUGGGCGUAAAGGGCGCGUAGGCGGUCGUGACAAGUCACUUGUGAAAUCUCCGGGCUUAACUCGGAACGGUCAAGUGAUACUGUCGGACUAGAGUACAGAAGGGGGCAACUGGAAUUCUCGGUGUAGCGGUGAAAUGCGUAGAUAUCGAGAGGAACACCUGCGGCGAAGGCGGGUUGCUGGGCUGACACUGACGCUGAUGCGGCGAAAGCCAGGGGAGCGAACGGG